rnacentral:rRNA from 1 species
UACAGAGGGUGCAAGCGUUAAUCGGAAUUACUGGGCGUAAAGCGCGCGUAGGUGGUUUGUUAAGUUGAAUGUGAAAUCCCCGGGCUCAACCUGGGAACUGCAUCCAAAACUGGCAAGCUAGAGUAUGGUAGAGGGUGGUGGAAUUUCCUGUGUAGCGGUGAAAUGCGUAGAUAUAGGAAGGAACACCAGCGGCGAAGGCGACCACCUGGACUGAUACUGACACUGAGGUGCGAAAGCGUGGGGAGCAAACAGG